CGAGCACGCGCGUGUGGCAUAUCAAUAAGCGGAGGAAAAGAAACUAACAAGGAUUCCCUCAGUAACGGCGAGUGAAGCGGGAAGAGCUCAAAUUUGAAAUCUUCAAGGUUCUACCUUGACGAAUUGUAGUUUAAAGAAGUGUUUUCUGUUGGAGUUUUGGUAAAAGUUCUUUGGAAUAGGACAUCAUAGAGGGUGAGAAUCCCGUAUUUGACCAUUAUUUCCAACUUUGUGAUACACUUUCAAAGAGUCGGAUUGUUUGGGAAUGCAGUCCAAAAUGGGUGGUAAAUUUCAUCUAAAGCUAAAUAUUGGCGAGAGACCGAUAGCGAACAAGUACCGUGAGGGAAAGAUGAAAAGAACUUUGAAAAGAGAGUUAAACAGUACGUGAAAUUGUCAAAAGGGAAGCGUUUGACACCAGUGUUGUUUUUCUGAAAAUCAAUUAAAGAACUGUUUAUGCUAAGUUGUUUAGACUUUAUCAGCUAACUGUUUAGUUUUGAGCUUUUCUUUAAUGCACUUUUCAGUUAACAAGUCAGCAUCAAUUUCUUUUGCUGUAAAAAAGCUUGAGGAAGGUGGCUUGAGAUUCGUCUUAAGUGUUUAUAGCCUCUUGCCUAUGCAGUCGGAGAGAUUGAGGUCUGCAGCGUAGAUCCUUCGGGGCUAAAUGCAUUUGUGCUAAGUUAUAGCAUUUUAUAGACAACUUGUUGACUAUGAUUUGUCUUGUAGCUUACUCGCUUAUGUUAUUUUACCUACGCUUAGGAUGUUGAAGUCAUCGUAUCGCGC
rnacentral:rRNA from 1 species